rnacentral:tRNA from 1 species
GGGAAUUUAGCUUAGUGGCAUAAGCACCUGCCUUGCAAGCAGGUGGUCGUGGGUUCGAUCCCCAGUACCGG